rnacentral:rRNA from 1 species
AUUAAACGCUGGCGGCAUGCCUUACACAUGCAAGUCGAACGGCAGCACGGGGGCAACCCUGGUGGCGAGUGGCGAACGGGUGAGUAAAGCAUCGGAACGUGCCCUGGAGUGGGGGAUAACGUAGCGAAAGUUACGCUAAUACCGCAUAUUCUGUGAGCAGGAAAGCAGGGGAUCGCAAGACCUUGCGCUCUGGGAGCGGCCGAUGUCGGAUUAGCUAGUUGGUGGGGUAAAGGCCUACCAAGGCGACGAUCCAUAGCGGGUCUGAGAGGAUGAUCCGCCACACUGGGACUGAGACACGGCCCAGACUCCUACGGGAGGCAGCAGUGGGGAAUUUUGGACAAUGGGCGCAAGCCUGAUCCAGCCAUGCCGCGUGAGUGAAGAAGGCCUCGGUUGUAAG